GUGGGUUGGCUCAGUGGUUAGAGCGUAGGUCUCAUAACUGAAGGGUCGCGGGAUCGAAUCCCGCUAGAGGCUGACA
rnacentral:tRNA from 1 species